rnacentral:rRNA from 1 species
AACGAACGCUGGCGGCAGGCUUAACACAUGCAAGUCGAACGCCCCGCAAGGGGAGUGGCAGACGGGUGAGUAACGCGUGGGAAUCUACCUAGUUCUACGGAACAACAGUUGGAAACGACGGCUAAUACCGUAUACGCCCGUCUUUGGGAGACCAGGGGCGGGGAAAGAUUGAUCGCUGUUGGAGGGGCCCGCGUCGGAUUAGGUAGUUGGUGGGGUAACGGCCUACCAAGCCUGCGAUCCGUAGCUGGUCUGAGAGGAUGAUCAGCCACACUGGGACUGAGACACGGCCCAGACUCCUACGGGAGGCAGCAGUGGGGAAUAUUGGACAAUGGGCGCAAGCCUGAUCCAGCAAUGCCGCGUGAGUGAUGAAGGCCUUAGGGUUGUAAAGCUCUUUCACACGCGACGAUGAUGACGGUAGUGUGAGAAGAAGCCCCGGCUAACUCCGUGCCAGCCGCCGCAGUAACAC